UCGCGCAAACUUUGCAAUACACGAAAGUGUGACAGGGCUAUCCCGAGUGCCGUCCGCUGAGGAUGGCUUUUAACCAGUCUAGAAAGCUGGUAGAAUAAGGAGAGGGCAAGUCUGGUGUCAGCCGCCGCGGUAAUACCAGCUCUCCGAGUGGUGUGGAUGUUUAUUGGGCCUAAAGCAUCCGUAGCUGGCCAAGCUAGUCCCCUGUUAAACCCACCGAAUUAAUCGUUGGAUUGCGGGGGAUACUGCUCGGCUAGGGGACGAGAGAGGCCGACGGUAUUCUCGGGGUAGGGGUGAAAUCCUAUAAUCCCGGGAAGACCACCAGUGGCGAAGGCUGUCGGCUAGAACGAGCCCGACGGUGAGGGAUGAAAGCUGGGGGAGCGAACCGGAUUAGAUACCCGGGUAGUCCCAGCUGUAAACGAUGCAGGCUAGGUGUUUGGACGGCCACGUGCCGUUCUAGUGCCGCAGGGAAGCUGUUAAGCCUGCCGCCUGGGGAGUACGAUCGCAAGGUUGAAACUUAAAGGAAUUGGCGGGGG
rnacentral:rRNA from 1 species